rnacentral:lncRNA from 1 species
UUGAGUAAGGUAAAAUAACCACUUGUUACACCAAUGGACAAACCCACUAAUUUUCGCGUUGAGUUGGAUUGAAUAAGGGGUUGCCCAAAUAAUUUUUCUUUUUUAUUAAAAAUUAAAUGACUAAAUAAUGAGUCAUCAUAUUUUUUCAUAAAGAUGAUUUAAUAUUUUUAUUUUUAUUUUUAAAAUAGAUAACUUAUUUUUAUUAUUUUUUAGCAUCGUAAAAU